rnacentral:rRNA from 1 species
GAUGAACGCUGGCGGCGUGCUUAACACAUGCAAGUCGAACGAUGAAGCCCAGCUUGCUGGGUGGAUUAGUGGCGAACGGGUGAGUAACACGUGAGUAACCUGCCCUUAACUCUGGGAUAAGCCUGGGAAACUGGGUCUAAUACCGGAUAGGAGCGUCCACCGCAUGGUGGGUGUUGGAAAGAUUUAUCGGUUUUGGAUGGACUCGCGGCCUAACAGCUUGUUGGUGAGGUAAUGGCUCACCAAGGCGACGACGGGUAGCCGGCCUGAGAGGGUGACCGGCCACACUGGGACUGAGACACGGCCCAGACUCCUACGGGAGGCAGCAGUGGGGAAUAUUGCACAAUGGGCGCAAGCCUGAUGCAGCGACGCCGCGUGAGGGAUGACGGCCUUCGGGUUGUAAACCUCUUUCAGUAGGGAAGAAGCGAAAGUGACGGUACCUGCAGAAGAAGCACCGGCUAACUACGUG